rfam:Glycine max cultivar Williams 82 chromosome 1, whole genome shotgun sequence.
AUUCCAUGAUUUGGACACAUCCUUAGUAAUUGCUUGAAUAUUUCCCAAGCUUCAUAGAGUGGUUCCCCUUCCUUUUGGAAAAAUGAAGUGAUCUCAUUUUUAGCUGU